rnacentral:rRNA from 1 species
GACGAACGCUGGCGGCGUGCUUAACACAUGCAAGUCGAACGGGCCCGCUCUCUUUUUUGGGGGUGGGUUGAGUGGCGAACGGGUGAGUAUCACGUGAGUAACCUGCCCCCUGCUCCUGGAUAACUGCUUGAAAGGGCGGCUAAUACGGGGUGUGCCGGCUGGUCCGCAUGGGCCUGGUCGGGAUAGUUUCAUCUUCGGGUGUUUCGGUGGGGGAUGGGCUCGCGGCCUAUCAGCUUGUUGGUGGGGUGAUGGCCCACCAAGGCGGUGACGGGUAGCCGGCCUGAGAGGGUGGGCGGCCACACUGGGACUGAGACACGGCCCAGACUCCUGCGGGAGGCAGCAGUGGGGGGUAUUGCACAAUGGGCGGAAGCCUGAAGCAGCGACGUCGCGUGAGGGAUGGAGGCCUUCGGGUUGUGAACCUCUUUCUCCGGUGGUGAAGGCCCUGUCCGUUGCGGCGGGGUUGACGGUAGCCGGGUAUGAAGCGCCGGCUAACUACGUG